GACGAACGCUGGCGGCGUGCUUAACACAUGCAAGUCGAACGGAAAGGCCCUGCUUUUGUGGGGUGCUCGAGUGGCGAACGGGUGAGUAACACGUGAGUAACCUGCCCUUGACUUUGGGAUAACUUCAGGAAACUGGGGCUAAUACCGGAUAGGAGCUCCUGCUGCAUGGUGGGGGUUGGAAAGUUUCGGCGGUUGGGGAUGGACUCGCGGCUUAUCAGCUUGUUGGUGGGGUAGUGGCUUACCAAGGCUUUGACGGGUAGCCGGCCUGAGAGGGUGACCGGCCACAUGGGGACUGAGAGACGGCCCAGACUCCUACGGGAGGCAGCAGUGGGGAAUAUUGCGCAAUGGGCGGAAGCCUGAUGCAGCAACGCCGCGUGCGGGAUGACGGCCUUCGGGUUGUAAACCGCUUUCGCCUGUGACGAAGCGUGAGUGACGGUAAUGGGUAAAGAAGCACCGGCUAACUACGUG
rnacentral:rRNA from 1 species